UACGGAGGGUGCAAGCAUUAAUCGGAUUUAUUGGGCGUAAAGGGCGCGUAGGCGGGAAGAUAAGUCAGAUGUGAAAUCCCGGGGCUCAACCCCGGAACGGCAUUUGAAACUAUCUUUCUUGAGGGUAGGCGGAGAAAACGGAAUUCCACAAGUAGCGGUGAAAUGCGCAGAUAUCAGGAGGAACACCGGUGGCGAAGGCGGGUCUCUGGGCCGUAACUGACGCUGAGGAGCGAAAGCAUGGGGAGCGAACAGG
rnacentral:rRNA from 1 species